UACAUGGUUGAUCCUGCCAGUAGUCAUAUGUUUGUCUCAAAGAGUAAGCCAUUCAUAUGUAAGUAUGAACAAAUUCAGACUGUGGAAUAGAGAAAGGCUCAUUAAAUCAGUUAUAGUUUGUUUGAUGGUAUCCACUACUCAGAUAACUAUAGUAAUUCUAGAGCUAAUACGAGCAACAAACCCCAACUUCUGGAAGGGAUGCAUUUAUUAGAUAAAAGGUGAAUGCGGGCUUUCCCCGAUGAUGCAAUGAUUCAUGAUAAAUCAAUAGUUCGCAUGGCCAUCAUACCAGCGAUGCAUCAUUCAAAUUUUUGCCCUAUCAACUUUCAAUGGUAGGUAGUGGCCUACCAUAGUUGUAACGGGUGAUGGAAAAUUAGGGUUUAAUUAUGGAGAGGGAGCUUAAGAAAUAGCUACCACAUCCAAGGAAGGCAGCAGGCAUGCAAAUUACCCUAUCCUAACACGGGGAGGUAGUGACAAUAAAUAAUAAUAUCGGGCUCAAUGAGUCUGAUAAUUGGAAUGAGUACAAUCUAAAUCCCUUAACGAGGAUACAUUGGAGGGCAAGUCUGGUGCUAGCACCCGCGGUAAUUCCAGCUUUGAUAUCAUAUAUUUAAGUUGUUGUAGUUAAAAAACUAGUAUUUGGACUUUAGGUUGGGCUGGCUGGUCCGCCUAUGGUGUGCAUCGGUGGUCUUGUCCUUUCUGUCGGCGCUGCACUCAUGGCCUUAACUAGAUGGGUCGUGCCUCCGGCGCUGUUACUUUGAAGAAAUUAGAGUGCUCAAAGCAAUCCUACGCUCUAUAUACAUUAGUAUGGGAUAAUAUUAUAGGAUUUCUGUCCUAUUACGUUGGCCUUCGGGAUUGGAAUAAUAAUUAACAGGGACAGUCGGGGGCAUAUGUAUUUCAUAAUCAGAUGCAAAAUUCUUGGAUUUAUGAAAGAUGAAAAACUACGAAAGCAUUUGCCAAGGAUGUUUUCAUCAAUCAAGAAUGAAAGUUAGGGGCUCAAAGAUAAUCAGAUAUCGUCCUAGUCUCAACCAUAAAUGAUGUCGACCAAGGAUUGACAGAUGUUGCUUUUAGAACUCUGCCAGCAUGUUUUUAGAAAUCAAAGUUUUCAGGUUCUGGGGGGGUUAUUGUCGCAAGGCUGAAACAUAAAGGAAUUGACCGAAGGGCACCACCAGUAGUUGAGCCUGCGGCAUAAUUUGACUCUACACGGAGAAACUUACCAGGUCAAGACAUAGUAAGGAUUGGCAGAGUGAGAUCUCUUUCUCGAUUCUAUGGGUAGUGGUGCAUGGUCGCUCUUAGUUGGUGGAUUAAUUUGUUUAGUUAAUUUCGUUAACGAAUGAGGCCUCAAUCUUCUAACUAGCAGUGCAGAGGUAUCCCUUCGCGACCAGCUUCUUAGAGGGACUACAUCUUUUUAAGACACAAAAGUUUAAGGAAAUAACAGGUCUGUGAUGCCUUUAGAUAUUCUGGGCCGCACGCAUACUACACUGAUGUAUUCAAUGAGUUUAUAGCCUUGGCUGACAGACUUGGGUAAUCUUUGAAAUUUAUCGUGAUGUGGAUAGAUCAUUGUAAUUGUUAGUUUUCAACGAGGAAUUUCUAGUAAGCGUGAGUCAUCAUCAUGCGUUGACUACGUCCCUUCCCUUUGUACACACCGAUCAUUGCUCCUAUCAAUUGAAUAAUUUGGUUAAAUAUUUGCAACAUGAUGAUAUGGAUGGUUUGCUACUCAUGAUAUCGCGAGAAGUCGAUUGAACCUUAUCAUUUAGAGGAAGGAGAAGUCGAAACAAGAUUUUCUUAGGUGAACCUGCGAAAGGAUUAUUG
rfam:Capsicum annuum cultivar Zunla-1 chromosome 2, whole genome shotgun sequence